AUGGCCAGUCAUUUAAUGAUUUCAAUGAUGACACAGCUAUACCACGUGGUAACACAUGCAAACUACAAUACAUGUUUUGACCAGGGUCCCUCCCCCCAGGGUGUUAAGGGCCCCAGGGGGCCUCCAGGAGCACCGGGAGAUACAGGGCCCAUUGGGAAAAGGGGUGAUGAUGGAACACAGGGAGAAGGCCAACCUGGAUAUCCAGGGUUUCAGGGAUAACCUGGUCUGAGAGGACCUGCAGGUUUAAAGGUCUGUCUGUCUGUCUGUCUGUCUGUCUGUCUGUCUGUCUGUCUGUCUGUCUGUCUGUCUGUCUGUCUGUCUGUCUGUCUGUCUGUCUGUCUGUCUGUCUGUCUGUCUGUCUGUCUGUCUGUCUGUCUGUCUGUCUGUCUGUCUGUCUGUCUGUCUGUCUGUCUGUCUGUCUGUCUGUCUGUCUGUCUGUCUGUCUGUCUGUCUGUCUGUCUGUCUGUCCGUCUGUCUGUCUGUCUGUCUGUCUGUCGUUGUAGCCUUAAGUUGUGCCCACAAAGUGAAGAGCUUCAGUAUGUAUGUGAGAGCACUACAGUAAUUGUAUAAGGUUAAGUUCACAUCAGGUAAAGCUGAAUCCCAAUUAUUCUUUUUUUUUUACUUUAGUCUGGAUCAGGGUUUGGAACCAAAUUAUUUUCCAAUCCUUUCGUUCUGAACAGAAACACUAUUUUUUUUGUUCCAUUCCACUGUUACGUCCAGAAAAAUAAAGAUAUGAACCGGUUUAGUUUAGUAGAUUACUUUGUCAAUCAGUGUGGAUAGAGCAUGCAAACUAGUUGUUUACAUGCAUGGUGGACAGGCAACUGUAGCCUAUGGCGACUGAAAUUUUGCAGGUGGCGAGAGAAGGUUGAGGAGGAGGUUUGAAGCGCUGGGCAUCUUGUUAUGACGUGUUAUCUGAAUUAGGUCCACAGAAUUAUACCUAGGAAGAGGAGCUUCUAUGGAGGAACUUUGAAUGUCCUUUGAGCUAACAAGCUUGUGUGUGCAGAGCAGCAGCAGAAUUAAAAACACGUUUCCUUUUUGUAGUAACCAUAUCCAAUGUAAAACGUGAUAACUAGGCCUAUAGAAUUCUUAACUAGUACUGUAAAAGUUAAUUAUUCUCCAGCUAAUUAAAUCUCUCUCCCUAUCUUCUGAAUCAUGCUUGUAACGUCAGUACAGUAUCUUAUGGUAGCAUCAGUACAGUAGCCUAUGGUAACGUCAGUACAGUAUCCUAUGGUAACGUCAAUACAGUAGCCUAGGGUAGCAUUAGUACAGUAGCCUAGGGUAGCAUCAGUACAGUAGCCUAGGGUAGCAUCAGUACAGUAGCCUAGGGUAGCGUCUGUACAGUAGCCUAUGGUAACGUCAGUACAGAAGCCUAUGCUUUGGAGGGGGGAGGAGCUACAGUAACCUAUGCUUUGGAGGGGGGAAGGGCUACAGUAGCCUAUGCUUUGGAGGGGGAGGGGCUACAGUAACCUAUGCUUUGGAGGGGGAGGGGCUACAGUAUCCUAUUCUUUGGAGGGGGAGGGGCUACAGUAGCCUAAACACACACACACACUGGUAAAGAUUUUGCAGGUAGACACUGGAAGAAGUUUCUGAGUGACAGAGGGAGGACUUUGCAUUUGUGGGACUAGAAAAAAAUGCCUGGAAUGUAAAAUAACGUUAUAAACUUGUUCCCAUGCUUUUAAAAUAACAAUUCUGUUCUGGAACAGUAUUGAUCACUUUCACUCCUGGUUCAGUUUCUGUUCCUUGAAAAUGUUUUCGGUUCUAUUCCCUGAACUGGUUCCAACUCCUUGUCUGGACCAAUAAACUUGGAUUGCACCACUAGCCAUUGACAUCCAAACAACACCUUGGCUUUUAUCAACAGCCAGACCAGUAUAAGUGUCUUUGAGGAAGCAGUGACUCUGGCAUAUGUAUAAAGUGAAACAUCUCUCCAAUUACUCGAGCUGUGUUAAACUUUUUAGUCAAAGUUUCAAAGAGCAGGCAUGGCGCUUGUCGUGGAAAUUUCAGCACUGAGAGAGACUUGGACAAUUAUUCAAACAAUCAUUUUUAUUCAACAUCGAUUAAUUAUUGCAAUAAUGAAACCGUCGACCGCACACCCUAAGUUGUGUUGCCGAGAGCUUAACUUUUACAGAAAUGCAGAGUUG
rnacentral:lncRNA from 8 species